rnacentral:rRNA from 1 species
AGCGAACGCUGGCGGCGUGCUUAACACAUGCAAGUCGAGUGCGCGCCUGUAGCAAUACAGGUGGCGCACGGCGCACGGGUGCGUAACACGUGGGUAAUCUGCCCUUCGAAGGGGAAUAACUCGCCGAAAGGCGAGCUAAUUCCGCAUAACAUUCCUUGGACUUUGGUUUGAGGAUUCAAAGGCGUAAGUCGUCGGAGGAGGAGCCCGCGCACGAUUAGCUAGUUGGUGGGGUAAUGGCCCACCAAGGCUAUGAUCGUUAGCUGGUCUGAG